UAAGACCCUAAUAACAUGGACUUGUUUGGGCUUGUCUCGACUCUUGAGGGGCAUGGCACGGGGUAUGGGGGCAGAGCCCCGACCCAUCCGCUAGGUUCAAAAAAAAAAAAAAACAUAAAAGCGUCCAAAUUUCAAAAGGUGCUUGCCUGGGCUGAUGCGCAAGGCGCACCAAGGCAUGCACCUUGGAAAGUGCCUACAUGAUAUUCUUCUUUUGUUUCUCUAUCAUAUCAGGUAUGGGUUGUCCUCUUGUAUUAAGAUUAAAUUGUGAGAAUACCUUUAGAUUAGGGAAUCUCUUUUGAAAGAUUUGUCUCUUUUCAUAAGAUUUGUUUGCAUUAGGGAAUUGCUUUUGAGUACAGCCCUUUAGAUUAGGGCUGUACUCAGUAUUUUAAAAGCGUAAGGUGCUUUUUGUGCCCAAGGUGCAAAGUGCAAGGUGAGAUACACACCUUUUGAAGCUAGGUGCAAAAUUAAAAAAAAAUGAAAAAAUGCAAAAAAUCAAAUACAUGAAAAAUAAAAAUAAUAUUAAUUAAAAAAUUGCAUGAAUUCUAAACUGAGUGUUUUUAAAAAGCCUAUAACUCAAUUAAAAUGCACAAACAUGAAACAUUAAACUUAAA